rnacentral:rRNA from 1 species
CGGUGCCGGAGUGAAGAUGUUAAGUUCACUGCCUGGGGAGUACGGUCGCAAGGCUGAAACUUAAAGGAAUUGGCGGGGGAGCACUGCAACGGGAGGAGCGUGCGGUUUAAUUGGAUUCAACGCCGGAAAACUCACCAGGGCCGACUGUUAUAUGAAGACCAGCGUAAUGAGCUUGUCGGAUUUUCAGAGAGGUGGUGCAUGGCCGUCGUCAGUUCGUACUGUAAAGCGUUCUGUUAAGUCAGAUAACGAACGAGACCCUCAUCUCUAUUUGCUACCUGGUUCUCCGGAAUCAGCGCACUAUAGGGAGACCGCUGGUGUGAAACCAGAGGAAGGGGAGGGCAACGACAGGUCAGUAUGCCCCGAAUGUCUUGGGCUACACGCGCGCUACAAAGGGCAGGACAAUGGGAUGCUAGGCCGAGAGGCAUUCAAGCUAACCCGAAACCUGUUCAUAGUUCGGAUUGAGGGCUGUAACUCGCCCUCAUGAAGCUGGAUUCCGUAGUAAUCGUGUUUCAAUAUAGCACGGUGAAUAUGCCCCUGCUCCUUGCACACACCGCCCGUCAAACCAUCUUAGUUGGGGGUGGGUGAGGCUGCGCUUUAUGGCGUAUUCGAGCCUGCCUUCGACAAGGAGGGUUAAGUCGUAACAAGGUAUC